rnacentral:rRNA from 1 species
UACGUAGGGUGCAAGCGUUGUCCGGAAUUAUUGGGCGUAAAGAGCUCGUAGGCGGUCUGUCGCGUCUGCUGUGAAAACUCAGGGCUUAACCCUGAGCUUGCAGUGGGUACGGGCAGACUAGAGUGCGGUAGGGGAGACUGGAAUUCCUGGUGUAGCGGUGAAAUGCGCAGAUAUCAGGAGGAACACCGGUGGCGAAGGCGGGUCUCUGGGCCGUAACUGACGCUGGAGGAGCGGAAAGCAUGGGGAGCGAAACAGG